rnacentral:rRNA from 1 species
GACGAACGCUGGCGGCGUGCUUAACACAUGCAAGUCGAACGGAAAGGCCCUGCUUUUGUGGGGUGCUCGAGUGGCGAACGGGUGAGUAACACGUGAGUAACCUGCCCUUGACUUUGGGAUAACUUCAGGAAACUGGGGCUAAUACCGGAUAGGAGCUCCUGCUGCAUGGUGGGGGUUGGAAAGUUUCGGCGGUUGGGGAUGGACUCGCGGCUUAUCAGCUUGUUGGUGGGGUAGUGGCUUACCAAGGCUUUGACGGGUAGCCGGCCUGAGAGGGUGACCGGCCACAUUGGGACUGAGAUACGGCCCAGACUCCUACGGGAGGCAGCAGUGGGGAAUAUUGCACAAUGGGCAGAAGCCUGAUGCAGCAACGCCGCGUGCGGGAUGACGGCCUUCGGGUUGUAAACCGCUUUCGCCUGUGACGAAGCGUGAGUGACGGUAAUGGGGAAAGAAGCACCGGCGAACUACGU